CAGUAGCCGCGGGAAUACGAAGGGUGCAAGCGUUACUCGGAAUUACUGGGCGUAAAGCGUGCGUAGGUGGUGGUUUAAGUCCGUUGUGAAAGCCCUGGGCUCAACCUGGGAAUUGCAGUGGAUACUGGGUCACUAGAGUGUGGUAGAGGAUAGUGGAAUUUCCGGUGUAGCAGUGAAAUGCGUAGAGAUCGGAAGGAACAUCUGUGGCGAAGGCGACUAUCUGGGCCAACACUGACACUGAGGCACGAAAGCAUGGGGAGCAAACAGGAUUAGAUACCCCAGUAGUCCCUGUCUCUUAUAC
rnacentral:rRNA from 1 species